rfam:Ipomoea nil DNA, scaffold: scaffold2283, cultivar: Tokyo-kokei standard.
GUGGGCAUGCCAGUGUGUUUAUCGGGCAUGACUAGAAAUAAUGAGGGCUUUGUCCGCACAGGUUCGAAUCAUGUUGCUCACG